rnacentral:rRNA from 1 species
CCUACGGGAGACUGCAGUGAGGACUAUUGGUCAAUGGACGAGAGUCUGAACCAGCCAAGUAGCGUGAAGGAUGACUGCCCUAUGGGUUGUAAACUUCUUUUAUAAAGGAAUAAAACGAGGCACGUGUGCCUUUUUGCAUUUACUUUAUGAAUAAGGAUCGGCUAACUCCGUGCCAGCAGCCGCGGUAAUACGGAGGAUCCGAGCGUUAUCCGGAUUGAUUGGGUUUAAAGGGAGCGUAGAUGGGUUGUUAAGUCAGUUGUGAAAGUUUGCGGCUCAACCGUAAAAUUGCAAUUGAUACUGGCAGUCUUGAGUACAGUUGAGGUAGGCGGAAUUCGUGGUGUAGCGGUGAAAUGCUUAGAUAUCACGAAGAACCCCGAUUGCGAAGGCAGCUUACUAAACUGUGACUGACAUUGAUGCUCGAAAGUGUGGGUAUCAAACAGGAUUAGAUACCCCAGUAGUC